rnacentral:rRNA from 1 species
UACGUAGGGAGCAAGCGUUGCCCGGAAUCAUUGGGCGUAAAGCGCGCGUAGGUGGCCCCAUAAGUCCGCUGUGAAAGUCAAAGGCUCAACCUUUGAAAGCCGGUGGAUACUGUGGGACUAGAGUACGGAAGAGGCGAGUGGAAUUCCUGGUGUAGCGGUGGAAUGCGCAGAUAUCAGGAGGAACACCAAUAGCGAAGGCAGCUCGCUGGGACGUUACUGACACUGAGGCGCGAAAGCGUGGGGAGCGAACAGG